CAGCAGCCGCGGUAAUACGAGGGGGGCAAGCGUUGUUCGGAAUUAUUGGGCGUAAAGGGUGCGUAGGCGGCUUGACAAGUCUUGUGUGAAAUCUAUGGGCUCAACCCAUAGUCUGCACGGGAAACUGUCGGGCUUGAGAAUGGGAGAGGUGAGUGGAAUUUCCGGUGUAGCGGUGAAAUGCGUAGAUAUCGGAAGGAACACCUGUGGCGAAAGCGGCUCACUGGACCAUUUCUGACGCUGAUGCACGAAAGCUAGGGGAGCAAACAGGAUUAGAUACCCGCGUAGUCCCUGUCUCUUAUAC
rnacentral:rRNA from 1 species